rnacentral:rRNA from 1 species
UACGUAGGGGGCAAGCGUUGUCCGGAAUUAUUGGGCGUAAAGAGCGCGUAGGCGGUCCGAUAAGUCGGCUGUGAAAGUCAGGGGCUCAACCCUUGAAAGCCGGCCGAUACUGUCGGACUAGAGUCCGGAAGAGGCAAGUGGAAUUCCCGGUGUAGCGGUGAAAUGCGCAGAUAUCGAGAGGAACACCAGUGGCGAAGGCGGGUCUCUGGACAACACCUGACGCUGAGGCACGAAAGCCAGGGGAGCAAACGGG